rnacentral:rRNA from 1 species
UGGGGAAUUGUGGACAAUGGGGGAAACCCUGAUCCAGCCAUCCCGCGUGUGCGAUGAAGGCCUUCGGGUUGUAAAGCACUUUUGGCAGGAAAGAAACGUCAUGGGUUAAUACCCCGUGAAACUGACGGUACCUGCAGAAUAAGCACCGGCUAACUACGUGCCAGCAGCCGCGGUAAUACGUAGGGUGCAAGCGUUAAUCGGAAUUACUGGGCGUAAAGCGUGCGCAGGCGGUUCGGAAAGAAAGAUGUGAAAUCCCAGAGCUCAACUUAGGAACUGCAUUUUUAACUACCGGGCUAGAGUGUGUCAGAGGGAGGUGGAAUUCCGCGUGUAGCAGUGAAAUGCGUAGAUAUGCGGAGGAACACCGAUGGCGAAGGCAGCCUCCUGGGAUAACACUGACGCUCAUGCACGAAAGCGUGGGGAGCAAACAGG